rnacentral:rRNA from 1 species
CCUACGGGAGGCAGCAGUGAGGAAUAUUGGUCAAUGGGCGCGAGCCUGAACCAGCCAAGUAGCGUGAAGGAUGACUGCCCUACGGGUUGUAAACUUCUUUUAUAAAGGAAUAAAGUGAGGCACGUGUGCCUUUUUGUAUGUACUUUAUGAAUAAGGAUCGGCUAACUCCGUGCCAGCAGCCGCGGUAAUACGGAGGAUCCGAGCGUUAUCCGGAUUUAUUGGGUUUAAAGGGAGCGUAGAUGGGUUGUUAAGUCAGUUGUGAAAGUUUGCGGCUCAACCGUAAAAUUGCAAUUGAUACUGGCGGUCUUGAGUACAGUUGAGGUAGACGGAAUUCGUGGUGUAGCGGUGAAAUGCUUAGAUAUCACGAAGAACUCCGAUGGCGAAGGCAGCUUACUAAACUGCCACUGACAUUGAUGCUCGAAAGUGUGGGUAUCAAACAGGAUUAGAUACCCCUGUAGUC